ACAUGCCUACAACACAACGUUAAUGCAUAAGAUCCCAUUAGAACUUUGCAGUUAAGUGCACUCAGGCUAGAGUAGUAUUGGGAUGGGUGACCUCCCAGGAAGUCCUAGUGUUUUACAUGCC
rnacentral:rRNA from 1 species